UUACCUGGUCUUGACAUCCCGGAGACCCUUAGGAAACUAGGGGGUGCUUCCAUCUGGAAGAAUCUGGAGACAGGUGCUGCAUGGCUGUCGUCAGCUCGUGUCGUGAGAGUGUUCGGGUUAAGUCCCGCAACGAGCCGCAACCCUUGCCUUUAGUUGCCAGCAGUUCGGCUGGGCACUCUAAAGGGACUGCCGGUGUUAAACCGGAGGAAGGUGGGGAGUGACGUCAAGUCCUCAUGGCCUUUAUGACCAGGGCUACACACGUACUACAAUGGCCGAUACAAAGGGCAGCGACACUGCGAGGUGAAGCCAAUCCCGUAAAAUCGGUCUCAGUCCGGAUUGGAGUCUGCAACUCGACUCCAUGAAGUUGGAAUCGCUAGUAAUCGUGGAUCAGCAUGCCACGGUGAAUACGUUCCCGGGCCUU
rnacentral:rRNA from 1 species